rnacentral:rRNA from 1 species
AUUGAACGCUGGCGGCAUGCUUUACACAUGCAAGUCGAACGGUAACAGGUUAAGCUGACGAGUGGCGAACGGGUGAGUAAUGCAUCGGAACGUGCCCGAUCGGGGGGGAUAACGCAGCGAAAGCUGCGCUAAUACCGCAUACGAUCUGAGGAUGAAAGCGGGGGACCGUAAGGCCUCGCGCGAUCGGAGCGGCCGAUGUCAGAUUAGGUAGUUGGUGGGGUAAAGGCUCACCAAGCCAACGAUCUGUAGCUGGUCUGAGAGGACGACCAGCCACACUGGGACUGAGACACGGCCCAGACUCCUACGGGAGGCAGCAGUGGGGAAUUUUGGACAAUGGGCGAAAGCCUGAUCCAGCAAUGCCGCGUGCAGGAAGAAGGCCUUCGGGUUGUAAACUGCUUUUGUACGGAGCGAAAAGGCUCUCUCUAAUACAGGGGGCUCAUGACGGUACCGUAAGAAUAAGCACCGGCUAACUACGUGCCAGCAGCCGCCGUAAGAC